rnacentral:rRNA from 1 species
UACGAACCGAGCGAACGUUGUUCGGAAUCCCUGGGCUUAAAGGGCGCGUAGGCGGGCCAUCAAGUCAGGGGUGAAAUCCUCCAGCUCAACUGGAGAACAGCUUUUGAUACUGGUGGUCUCGAGUGGGGUAGGGGCAUGUGGAACUUCCGGUGGAGCGGUGAAAUGCGUAGAUAUCGGAAGGAACGCCGGUGGCGAAAGCGACGUGCUGGACCCUUUCUGACGCUGAGGCGCGAAAGCCAGGGGAGCAAACGGG